rnacentral:rRNA from 1 species
UACACGACCGUACCGCAAACCGACACUGGUGCGCGAGAUGAGUAUUCUAAGGCGCUUGAGAGAACUCAGGAGAAGGAACUCGGCAAAUUGACACCGUAACUUCGGAAGAAGGUGUGCCUUUAGUAGGUGAACCAUUUACUUGGGGAGCCCAAUGAGGCUGCAAAAAAUCGGUGGCUGCAACUGUUUAUUAAAAACACAGCACUCUGCUAAGACGAAAGUCGACGUAUAGGGUGUGACGCCUGCCCGGUGCUGGAAGAUUAAAUGAUGGGGUGCAAGCUCUUGAUUGAAGUCCCAGUAAACGGCGGCCGUAACUAUAACGGUCCUAAGGUAGCGAAAUUCCUUGUCGGGUAAGUUCCGACCUGCACGAAUGGCGUAAUGAUGGCCACACUGUCUCCUCCUGAGACUCAGCGAAGUUGAAAUGUUUGUGAUGAUGCAAUCUCCCCGCGGAAAGACGGAAAGACCCCAUGAACCUUUACUGUAGCUUUGUAUUGGACUUUGAACAGAUCUGUGUAGGAUAGGUGGGAGGCUUUGAAGUGUGGUCGCUAGAUCGCAUGGAGCCAACGUUGAAAUACCACCCUGGUGUGUUUGAGGUUCUAACCUAGGUCCAUUAUCUGGAUCGGGGACAGUGCAUGGUAGGCAGUUUGACUGGGGCGGUCUCCUCCCAAAGUGUAACGGAGGAGUUCGAAGGUACGCUAGGUACGGUCGGACAUCGUGCUAAUAGUGCAAUGGCAUAAGCGUGCUUAACUGCGAGACUGACAAGUCGAGCAGAUGCGAAAGCAGGACAUAGUGAUCCGGUGGUUCUGUAUGGAAGGGCCAUCGCUCAACGGAUAAAAGGUACUCUGGGGAUAACAGGCUGAUACCGCCCAAGAGUUCAUAUCGACGGCGGUGUUUGGCACCUCGAUGUCGGCUCAUCUCAUCCUGGGGCUGUAGCCGGUCCCAAGGGUAUGGCUGUUCGCCAUUUAAAGAGGUACGUGAGCUGGGUUUAAAACUCGUGAGACAGUUUGGUCCCUAUCUUCCGUGGGCGCUGCAGAUUUGAGGAAGCCUGCUCCUAGUACGAGAGGACCGGAGUGGACGAACCUCUGGUGUAUCGGUUGUCACGCCAGUGGCAUUGCCGAGUAGCUAAGUUCGGAAGAGAUAACCGCUGAAAGCAUCUAAGCGGGAAACUCGUUUCAAGAUUAGAUCUGCCGGGGCCUUGAGCCCCCUAAAGAGUCGUUCAAGACCAGGACGUUGAUAGGUCAGGUGUGGAAGCGAAAAA